rnacentral:rRNA from 1 species
UACGGAGGGGACUAGCGUUGUUCGGAAUUACUGGGCGUAAAGCGUGCGCAGGCGGUUUUGUAAGCCAGAUGUGAAAUCCCCGGGCUUAACCUGGGAAUGGCAUUUGGGACUGCAAGGCUUGAGUGCGGCAGAGGAGACUGGAAUUCCCGGUGUAGCAGUGAAAUGCGUAGAUAUCGGGAGGAAUACCGAUGGCGAAGGCAGGUCUCUGGGCUGACACUGACGCUCAUGCACGAAAGCGUGGGGAGCAAACAGG